rnacentral:RNase_MRP_RNA from 1 species
AUGUCACUGGACGAAGUGAUUGGGCUUCAUGGGCUUGACUAAGUUCCGACCCAGGAAAGUCCCCGGGCCACUUUUCCGCAGAGAUGCGGCCUCGGUAACGAGAGAAUCGUACGGUGGAGAGAUUAAAGCUGAGACACGUGUGUGGAGCUCUCUCUGCCGACGAUAUCAUGGCCGUUCGUAUUACGACAGUUAUUCACCUGGUCCUUGUCAGGACUAACUGAACGGGGCUUACGUUUCAAUGACA